UCGCGUCUGGCAGGGUAGUGGAACAUGCCCCCCAGUGCCCAGGGACAAGGCAGUGGAGCGUGCCCCCCAGUGCCCAGGGACAAGGCAGUGGAGCGUGCCCCCUCCAGAGCCUAGGAACCGUGUAUAAAGGGGAGGGGGCACUGUAGCAUUCGGGAGAAGAAAAAAACGGGAGAAAAAUCUCAGAUCCUGCAAGCAAAAGAAAACAAGCAAUCAAAAACCCCAAAGGAACCUGAAAAAUCAAAAACAUCCUAGUUCUCUAGCAGCUAGAAUCAGUCCACAAAAAAAAAUACCCAAAAAAGAAAGAAACGUGUUCAGUGAGAGUGAAAGGGAGAGUCCGGCCAGAGAGGACCGAUUGGGGCUGAGGGUUUGUCGUUGGUUGGGGAAAGCCAACUUGAGCGACGUCGAUUGGAGAGAGAGCCGACCGAUUGGGGAGCAGCAACCACCGUUUGAAAAGUCGACUAUUAGGGAGCAGCAGCCACCGGUUGAAAAGCCGACUUGAGCAACGUCGAUUGGAGAGAGAGCCGACCGAUUGGGGAGCAGCAACCACCGGUUGAAAAGUCGACUGAUAGGGAGCAACAGCCACCGGUGGGAGAG
rnacentral:lncRNA from 1 species